rnacentral:lncRNA from 1 species
GUUCGGUUCUAGGUAUGAAAACUGUAGAUCCGAACAAUUUGCUUUAGUUAUCGGGUUUAUACUAUUUUUGGACCCAAACAUGACCCAACCCGACCCAACUCGGGAACCGAAAUCUAGACCCGAUCAUAUAGUAAUACAGUGCACUCAUUGAAGACUUCUGUGUGUUGGAUAUUAUUUUGUAUUAUUUUAAACAAUGUGUUAUUGUGUAGAGUUUAUAUUUAUUUUUUAGUAUCAUCUUAUUUUAUUUUUCUAAAUUUUAAAUUAAUCGACCGACCUGACCCGAUAGAGAAAGAACCAAAGAACCGAACCAUCUCACUCGGGAUGGGUCGGUUCCUUUGGAGAAUUAGUUCGAUUUUAGGUACAAAAAUAGAGAACCGAUCAAGGUCGGGUCAGUUCGGGUCUGUUACAGAACUGACUCAACCCGACCCGUGCACACCCCUAUUCAAUUUAGACUUCUAAAUUAUAAUCUUGUAAGUUUUAUUUUGUUAUUUAAAUUAAUCAUUCUUUUUCUUCUUUUUCUAUAUUUAAAGAAUUUUACAAUUCUUAUUUAAAACUUUCUGAUUGUUUUAGAAAAAAUUAACACAUUUUUUUCAACAAUCUUAAGCCCUUUAAUCUAUCUGUUUUAAAAAAGUUUUUAGAAAAUCAAGAAAUUUCUGUAAAUUAAAAUUAGAAUUGUUCUGACUGUGUCUUGUCGGAUAAAACAAAUCAGUGUCUAAGUAAGUAAAAGUUUGCUGCUACUCUUAUAUUUUCUUUCAUAUGUAUGGGGAUUUUCUAAAUCACCAACUGCUGGUUUGGUUUACUAUUCGUCAUAUGUUUGUUACCCUUUCCAUUAUGUUUGGAAGGAAUUCGUGUGUGUACACACACAUAUAUAUAUAUAUAUACAUACUAGGGGGAGUAUGCUCGUGCUAUGCACGUGCGAGUAAUUUUAAGGAAAAAAUAAAAAAUAAAAAAUGGAGAUAACAAAGUUACCAAGGGACAAAAUCGGGACACAAAAAUGGUUGUAAAUGAACUACUAUUCACUCACAUUCACUAAGGGGGCAAAAUAAAUAAAAAAAAUUGUGGUAAAUGAGUUAAAAAAAAUAACUAAUGGGUAAAAUCGAAAAAAAAUGUGGUAGAUGAGCUCCUAUUCACUCACAUUUAUUAUGGGGAAAAAUCGAAAAUACCCGAGUUUUCAAAAUAAGUAAUUCGUUAACCAAAAACCUAAUCUAAUGAGUUAAUAUGAGUAGGGGCAAAAUCGGACGAAAAAAAAUAAGCAGGGGCAAAAUUGAUAAAAAAAAAUUGUGCAAAAUUGAAAAACAAAUUGAUAACGCCAAAAUUAAAUUGAAAAUAACCAAAAUUUCAGGGUUAAAAUAUAAUUUACAGCAAUUCUAGGGAUCAAUAUGUAAUUAUCAAUAACUUUAGAGACCAAAUUGUAAUUAUCAAAAAUUUUAGAGACUGUUCACGGGUCAAACUGCCAAAAUUAGAAAGUUUUAAGAUCAAAUUGAUAAAAUUAAAAAAUUUUGGAACAAAAAUGACAAUAACCGAACCAUCCGAUUUGAAAACAUUGAUUAGUACUAAUAUUUCAUGGGCAUAAUCGCCAACCCAUCCGAUUUCGCGAUUGGAUCUGUUUUUUUCUCGCUCUUAGCUCUCGGGAGCUUUAGGCUCCGUUUGUACCAACUUUUUGGUUGGUUUUUUUUAAUUUUAUAAGCAAAAAAAUUAAAAAGAAUUAAUUUUUUGUUUCUGUUUAGUUAAAGUAAAGCCAAAAAAAAAAUCUCAAUUUUUUUGAUAGCAAGUUUAAAUAAAACUUGACUUUUAAGUAGGAUUUUGAUUUCUAUACUCCUUUUUUUGCAUUCUAUACUCCAAAUUUUAUCUCUAUUAGGUAAAAUUAUAAAAAUGUUCUUCUCUUUUAUAUUGACUUUUAAAGAUAUUUUUAUAAUUUUAUCUAAUAAAGAUAAAAUUUAAAAUAUAGAAUAUAAAAAAAAGGGUAAAAAUCAAAAUUCUUUAAUUAUUAUCAAACGGAGUCUUAUAGUAACUCGUCGAAUGCCGCACAUUUGAAUGCACUUGUCAUCCCGUGUAAAAUGAUUGAAGUUGCCACGUCAAAUGACGAAAUUAACCUCAGCCCUCUUUUUUUUCCAAUUUUGAUCUAUUUCGUUUUUCACUUGCUAAAAAGAAUGAAUUGUCUGAAUCAUUGCUAAAACAGAAAGGACCGUAACGUCUGUUGGCACACAUGGGCUCGUGUCCUUUGCAUUGAUGGAAUAAAAAGUUGCUUUCUUAGGGCCCUUUCAGUACCAGUUUUGAAAUGUGUGGACGUAGUUUGAGUGUGCUUAUUCUAAUAAUUCAUGUGUGUUAUACCUUUAAAAUUUUUUUUUUUUUUUAAUAAUAUAAAAGAUUAUAUUUAUCGGAUACAGAUAAAUAUAAUUAUCUGAAUGCUUUUGACCGUUCUUUUUAUCAGUAACUUAUAUUUUUUUGGUUUUUUUUAACGAGAUAAAUCAAAAUAUAUAAAAAAAAUUAUCUAAUUUUU